CCUGGUGACAUUAGCGAACGGGAACCACCUGAUCCCUUCUCGAACUCAGAAGUGAAAACGUUCAGCGCCGAUGGUAGUGUGGGGUCUCCCCAUGUGAGAGUAGGUCAUCGCCAGGCAUUUAAAUUC
rnacentral:rRNA from 1 species